rnacentral:rRNA from 1 species
UACGGGGGGAGCAAGCGUUGUUCGGAUUUACUGGGCGUAAAGGGCGCGUAGGCGGCGCAACAAGUCACUUGUGAAAUCUCCGGGCUUAACCCGGAGCGGUCAAGUGAUACUGUCGUGCUAGAGUGCGGAAGGGGCUACUGGAAUUCUCGGUGUAGCGGUGAAAUGCGUAGAUAUCGAGAGGAACACCUGCGGCGAAGGCGGGUAGCUGGGCCGACACUGACGCUGAUGCGCGAAAGCCGUGGGGAGCAAACGGG